GAUUAACGCUGGCGGCAUGCCUAAUACAUGCAAGUCGAACGGAAGCAGCAAUGCUUUAGUGGCGAACGGGUGAGUAACACGUAGGGAACCUACCUAUACGACGAGGAUAACUACUGGAAACGGUAGCUAAAACUGGAUAGGAUCAAUUGAGGCAUCUUGAUUGAUUUAAAGAUCCUUCGGGAUUACGUAGAGAUGGCCCUGCGGCGCAUUAGCUAGUUGGUGAGGUAACGGCCCACCAAGGCGACGAUGCGUAGCUGAGCUGAGAGGCUAAACAGCCACACUGGGACUGAGACACGGCCCAGACUCCUACGGGAGGCAGCAGUAGGGAAUUUUCGGCAAUGGGGGAAACCCUGACCGAGCAAUGCCGCGUGAACGAUGAAGGUCUUCGGAUUGUAAAGUUCUGUGAUUGGGGAAGAAUGGUAUUCUUAGGGAAUGAGGAGUACAUGACGGUACCCGAUUAGAAAGCCCCGGCUAACUAUGUGCCAGCAGCCGC
rnacentral:rRNA from 1 species